rnacentral:rRNA from 1 species
UCCAGACUCCUACGGGAGGCAGCAGUGGGGGAUAUUGCACAAUGGGGGGAACCCUGAUGCAGCGACGCCGCGUGGGUGAAGGAGCGUUUCGGCGCGUAAAGCCCUAUCGGCAGGGAAGAAGAUGACGGUACCUGACCAAGAAGCCCCGGCUAACUACGUGCCAGCAGCCGCGGUAAUACGUAGGGGGCAAGCGUUAUCCGGAUUCACUGGGGGUAAAGGGAGCGUAGACGGCCAUGCAAGCCAGGGGUGAAAGCCCGGGGCCCAACCCCGGGACUGCCCUUGGAACUGCAUGGCUGGAGUGCGGGAGGGGCAGGCGGAAUUCCUGGUGUAGCGGUGAAAUGCGUAGAUAUCAGGAGGAACACCGGCGGCGAAGGCGGCCUGCUGGACCGCGACUGACGUUGAGGCUCGAAAGCGUGGGGAGCGAACAGGAUUAGAUACCCUAGUAUUG